rnacentral:lncRNA from 1 species
GUACUAACGGGAUAAAAAUAACGAAUGAUAUGUUUUUAACAAUAAAAAAUGGUGUGGACUUUAACGGUGCUUUUUUGUGGACUUUAGCGGAACUUGCUAUUGUGGACUUUAACGGCGUUUUCUUGUGGACUUUAGCGGAGGUCAUUUUGUGGACUUUAGCGGAAAGUUUGUGGACUUUAGCGGCGUUGUGGGCUUUAGCGGAAAUUUGUUGUGGACUUUAGCGGUGUUGUGGACUUUAGAGGAAUUGUGGACUUUAACGGUGCCACAAUUACUAUAA